AUGGGGUCUCUGGAGGCAGAGAGAAAGGUCUUCAGGCCUUGCUGCCUGAUUUCAGGAAGAUGCCAUCUCAGGGAGCUGCAUUGUUUCCCCUUACCUGGAUCGGAAGCCAUCUCAAGAUGCCCAGUUAGACAAGGUUUGGAAAGGGGAUCUGCGUUCCCUCGGGGGAGCUGGAGAUCAUCCCAGAAUAUCUCUGAGCUAUGCAAUUCGAGAAACAUUUAUAUGCAACAUACAAGCUCCUGGACCAGAUGCUGGGGCCCCAGGGAUGACAUUCUACUCGGGAUAAAUACCAAGGACUCAUCAGCAUGGCAACCAUCUUGUCGAGAGCAUGAGUCAUAUGCUGCAAGUGUGAAAAGGGAUUUAUCUGCCAUAGUACUGUAAAGUCAGUUACAAUCUGUUCUCCGGCUCCAGCAAAUAUCGAGGCAAGAUCCCCAGAAACAUCUCGAGCUCUGAGAUCCCUGGGUUUUAACAAGAUCGGAAUGGGUUCCCAUGCAUGCUGGCUCCCACAGACUUCUCCCAAUAUUCAGACAACUAGGAUUGCCGGCUGCCCCAGUCUCAGAAGGAUACUUUUUGACAUCCAUUAACAGCUUGAUGCUAAGCAGAUUAGAGACAGACAUGGACUGCUUCUUUGUUUUGUCAUGGAGAGUCGUGGAGAGCAGAGGAGUCAGUUCCAACCUCCUUCAAAGCACAGCUCACUGCCAACUCCCUCAUGAGGCCAUUUUUGAUCCUUCUCCACCCCUGAGCUAUUAGAGCUCACUCUCUCUGGAAAUCACUUUCUUUUCAGAGACAAAGUAGAUGCCAGACUAACCCAAUCAUGGGACGGGAAUGCAAUGGACCUUUAGUGUGCAGUGAGAAAUGCCACAUGUGAGCAAUGCAGAGAUUUGAGAAGCGUAGAAAGAGUUAUCUGAACUGAACCAAAAAGGAACAAGCAGAAUCCAGUAAACAAUGCACAGAAUAACUGCAGUGAUGGCAACUGAACCAACAACACUAAACAAGUGAAAGGAAAAGGAAAUUCAGGAUUCUGCUGAUCAAUGCAGCCUCCAAAAAGAGGGAUGAGAAAACAGCAAUUCCUGCUCCUCAGCAAAGGCAGGGAACCCAUGGGGUGUGCUGCUCAGAACAUCAGAUUUUUUUUUCAAUAUGGUGGUUCACCUUGAGGAACUUUUUUUCUUCCUUUUUAUCCUAUGGGAUGACUCUCAGGGACUGGGUUAACGAAAGGAUGUAGUGGGAAAUAUGGGUGAUGUGAAAACAAAAGAUAUCAAUAAAAAGUUAUUUUAAGAAUUUAUUUAUUUCA
rnacentral:lncRNA from 1 species